CUUGAUCGACCCCAACCACAGCGGCUGAUCCGCAUCCCGGUCCUGGCCAUAAGUGGCCAGCAGAGCCUGCGCCUC
rnacentral:antisense_RNA from 1 species